rnacentral:tRNA from 1 species
GGGGUUGUGGCUCAGCGGUAGAGCGCUUGCCUAGCACAUGCAAGGCCCUGGGUUCGAUCCUCAGCACCACA